CCAGCUUCCGGGGGGGAGCAGAGCACCUUCGCUCAGAGAAAAGAGGAGAGGGGCCUCCUCAGGCUCUGUCCAAACCCAUCCACUUGGCCUCCUUUGGAACAGCCCCUGCCCCACCUCCUGAACCCCUUCAGGAGCAGCAGCCCCCCUCCCAGGCACUCUCCUGACUUCCCUCUAGAGCUGCCCACAUUCAGCGACAGCAGCCACUCGCAGCCUCCAAAGCCUCACCAUGAAGGCAGAUUCGUCCCCUGACCUCUGCAGGUGGAGGUCGGAGUGGACAGCACUCGACGCCGCCCACCCGGCUCCCGGUCGGGGUCCGCCCCUUCCUCAUAGCUUCUCCCCACGAGCCUCCUGGGCCUGUGUCCGGU
rnacentral:lncRNA from 1 species